AGCCCUGCCCGGUGAUGUAAUAGGCUCCUCCAAUCCCGUAAUGCUACCUCACUCAACUCCAGCCCAGCUCAGGUUAACCCCCACCCCUCUCCUAUAAAAGAAGCUCCCUGUUGCGCCAUGCUGCUUUUCCUUUGUUAAGAGACAUCGCAGUUCGUGCUCCCUAUUUCAAAGGAUUGUUGUAGUCCUGGUCUGGUCCUGGUUUUUCAGCUCUUGUGCAACCAUCUGGAGCUCCAGGGAGAAAUCAUCAGCCAGCAGCUCUAGCUUCAAGAAAAGCCUACAGGAAAGGAAGAUACAAGUCACGACGUGUGAAGCAAGAUAGGUAGUGAGACUCAUAAGAAAAAGAGAAACAGACUGAUAAAAGGAUUUGAAAAAAUGAGUGGAACAGUGAUUUCAAGGAGAGGAACUACACAAAUGAGAACAAAAGACAGGGACUGCCUGUCCGACUUAAACUUUAAGAGCCUGCGACCAUAAAUUAAAAGGAUACCUGCAGUUGGAUAUCUGAGUGUAGAUCUGAAAACAAGAAAAUGUAUUAAGUGACUUGUCAGAAAUGAUUCCUAAGAAAAACCAGUAGAGGAGUAGGGGAACGAGUAUGGAAAAGAAAGAAACCCACAUGAAAGUGCCAUUUCCUACAAAAUUCCUGCGCGUUAAGGAUCUCGAGCCCACAGAGAAGUUUUAAGGGCUGUGUAAAAGUAAAUCCUUGAUGCUUUAAGAGCUCCAGAUUUUAGACAAAACAAACUCGCAGCCUAUGAAGAUAACCCACUGACAAAGAUCUUCAGGUGCUGUGUUGUGAGCAGACUUCACAGGGAGACAGCACAAGUGACAAUCGUCAGGGAUUGGAGAGAGUCUGAACUGAUUCCAGAAAAAGUCUAAGUCUACUUUGGAAGGUACAAGACCUUGUAUUCCUGUUCCUGACAUACCAAUCCAAAUGUGGACGUGUCCCAUGUUUUCCCGUUUUUACCUUUUUAAAACAAAUUAUGAAGGUAGAUUUUGUUCAUAAACACAG